rnacentral:rRNA from 1 species
CACGAACGCUGGCGGCAUGCCUAACACAUGCAAGUCGAACGAGACCUUCGGGUCUAGUGGCGCACGGGUGCGUAACGCGUGGGAACCUGCCCUUAGGUUCGGAAUAACUCCCCGAAAGGGGUGCUAAAACCGGAUAAUGUCUUCGGACCAAAGAUUUAUCGCCUUUGGAUGGGCCCGCGUUGGAUUAGCUAGUUGGUAGGGUAAAAGCCUACCAAGGCGACGAUCCAUAGCUGGUCUGAGAGGAUGAUCAGCCACACUGGGACUGAGACACGGCCCAGACUCCUACGGGAGGCAGCAGUGGGGAAUAUUGGACAAUGGGCGAAAGCCUGAUCCAGCAAUGCCGCGUGAGUGAUGAAGGCCUUAGGGUUGUAAAGCUCUUUUACCCGGGAUGAUAAUGACAGUACCGGGAGAAUAAGCUCCGGCUAACUCCGUG